rnacentral:rRNA from 1 species
ACCCAAGGACUUGACGGUGUCCCACCCAUACUAGAGGAGCCUGUUCUAUAAUCGAUGAUCCACGAUAUACCUAACCACCCCUAGCCAAUCAGCCUGUAUACCUCCGUCGCAAGCUUACCGUAUGAACGUACCACAGUAGGCUCAAUGGCCUUAACGCCACCACGUCAGGUCAAGGUGCAGCUAAUGGGCUGGAAGCGAUGGGCUACAAUUUCUAAUCUAGAACAAACGAAAUACUACAUGAAACAUAGUCAUGAAGGAGGAUUUAGUAGUAAGUAGGAAAUAGAGAGUCCUACUAAAACUGGCUCUGGGACGUGUACAAACCGCCCGUCACCCUCUUCGAUAG